rnacentral:tRNA from 1 species
GAGGUUCUGGUCGUCGGUGGUCUUGACCGCCAACUCCUGUCGGAUGAAGCCCGAGAAGGCCCAUUCGGCCGCCUGGG